GACGAACGCUGGCGGCGUGCCUAAUACAUGCAAGUCGAGCGGAAGUUGAAGAGCUUGCUCUUCAACUUUAGCGGCGGACGGGUGAGUAACACGUGGGCAACCUGCCCUGCAGAUCGGGAUAACUCCGGGAAACCGGUGCUAAUACCGAAUAGUUUUCGCCACCUCCUGGUGGCGUACGGAAAGACGGUUUCGGCUGCCAUUUCAGGCUGGGCCCGCGGCGCAUUAGCUAGUUGGUGGGGUAACGGCCCACCAAGGCGACGAUGCGUAGCCGACCUGGGAGGGUGAUCGGCCACACUGGGACUGAGACACGGCCCAGACUCCUACGGGAGGCAGCAGUAGGGAAUCUUCCGCAAUGGACGAAAGUCUGACGGAGCAACGCCGCGUGAGUGACGAAGGUUUUCGGAUCGUAAAACUCUGUUGUGAGGGAAGAACAAGUACCAACUAACUACUGGUACCUUGACGGUACCUCACCAGAAAGCCACGGCUAACUACGUGCCAGCAGCCGCAGUAAGAC
rnacentral:rRNA from 1 species